GUGUUGUAUGAAAGGAGUGACGGUUUGCAUUCCCCUUGAUAAUGAUGGAAGGGGCCCUAAAAACCUUACAACACACAAAUUGUUAAGGCGUUACCAUCUACUUAGUGGCACCUGACCAUUUUACUUA